rnacentral:rRNA from 1 species
GACGAACGCUGGCGGCAUGCCUAAUACAUGCAAGUCGAGCGAACAGAUGAAGUGCUUGCACUUCUGACGUUAGCGGCGAACGGGUGAGUAACACGUAAGGAAUCUACCUAUAAGCGGGGGAUAACAUUCGGAAACGGGUGCUAAUACCGCAUAAUAUCUUCUUCCGCACGGAAGAAGAUUGAAAGACGGCUCUGCUGUCACUUAUAGAUGACCUUGCGGUGCAUUAGUUAGUGGGUGGGGUAACGGCCUACCAAGACGAUGAUGCAUAGCCGACCUGAGGGGGUGAUCGGCCACAUUGGGACUGCGACACGGUCCAUACUCCUACGGGAGGCAGCAGUGAGGAAUCUUCCGCAAUGGGCGAAAGCCUGACGGAGCGACACCGCGUGAGUGAUGAAGGCUUUCGGGUCGUAAAACUCUGUUGUUAGGGAAGAACAAGUGCUAGUUGAAUAAGCUGGCACCUUGACGGUACCUAACCAGAAAGCCACGGCUAACUACGUGCCAGCAGCCGCCGUAA